rnacentral:lncRNA from 1 species
CAUCUCUGUAAUGAGAAGGGGUGUGGUCUAAUGACAUCAACACCCCAUAUCAGGUGUGCAUAAUUAUUAGGCAACUUCCUUUCCUUUGGCAAAAUGGGUCAAAAGAAGGACUUGACAGGCUCAGAAAAGUCAAAAAUAGUGAGAUAUCUUGCAGAGGGAUGCAGCACUCUUAAAAUUGCAAAGCUUCUGAAGCGUGAUCAUCGAACAAUCAAGCGUUUCAUUCAAAAUAGUCAACUGGGUCGCAAGAAGCGUGUGGAAAAACCAAGGCGCAAAAUAACUGCCCAUGAACUGAGAAAAGUCAAGCGUGCAG